UGGGGAAUCUUGGACAAUGGGCGCAAGCCUGAUCCAGUCAUGCCGCGUGGAUGAUGAAGGCCUUAGGGUUGUAAAAUCCUUUCGUUGGGGACGAUAAUGACGGUACCCAAAGAAGAAGCUCCGGCUAACUUCGUGCCAGCAGCCGCGGUAAUACGAAGGGGGCUAGCGUUGUUCGGAUUUACUGGGCGUAAAGCGCGUGUAGGCGGACUUGUAAGUUGGGGGUGAAAUCCCGAGGCUCAACCUCGGAACUGCCUCCAAAACUACAAAUCUGGACCUAAGUAGAGGCAAGUGGAAUUGCGAGUGUAGAGGUGAAAUUCGUAGAUAUUCGCAGGAACACCAGUGGCGAAGGCGACUUGCUGGACUUAUGGUGACGCUGAGACGCGAAAGCGUGGGGAGCAAACAGGAUUAGAUACCCCCGUAGUCCCUGAGCGGGCUGGCAAGGCGCAU
rnacentral:rRNA from 1 species